UAACAUAACGAAAGGCAUCAAAAAGAGACCAAUAUAGUUAUUUGCAUGUUUAUUAAUUACCUACCUACUUAACUUGUAGUGGAAAUAUUUUAUUAUCGUUAGUCGUUAAUAUAAAGAGCUUAAGUUCCUGCAGGUUUCACUAAUAUAUGAUUACAGAUUUGCCGGACUACCAGUCAGUUACUAAUUUAGUUCAUUAUUAGUUUGAAUUGCGAUUAGUUCAGUGCGUAUUUUUUUUAAUAUUCAUUAAAAAAUGAAACUGCUUUUUGUCUGUGUAUACUUGGCUAUUAUUGUGCUGACCGAUGCUAGAAUACUGCCGCAAAUGAACUAUUACAAAUUAUUUUUUCCUGACGAUAUCGACAAUUCCACUGGUGAUGCGACCGAGGACUCCUUGGUCGCAAUACCAACACAGCAGUGGUAGUCAAGUCUGCACAUUCCUAUGGAUCUGAAGACGUGUUACAAUAAUGCAUUUGAUAUUACCUGUAUAAUCAUGACCAAUGUGUAUCUUCGAGCAAAAUUAAUUCAAUUAUAUUUCUUUUCUUUUAUAUAACUUUUAAUAAAUGAUAAAUUACUA